UGCAGGGUGCUCUGACCACGCCCCCGAUCCGCCCCCUAUGGGCCCUGGGGGGCAGCGAAUAGCCACAGUCCAGUGCACCCUGGCCAUGCCCCAUACUGGGGGGUGGCUUCUUGGGGGGCUGUUUCCUGUUCCUCAGUGGCCUGAGCCUCAGGCCUCUAUUCUCCCUCGUCUUGGGACCUGUCCUGCCCUCUCUCCCCACCCCCCCAGGAGGCCGUGGGGGGUCCAUGGCCCCGGAGAGCCGCCCAGGCCUCUUGGCUUCAGCUUGCGACUGGAGCUCAGCUGCUGCCCUCGGUCUGGCAGCGGGACAGGCAGAGCGCCAGCCCCCCGCCCAGCAGCGUCCUUGUAAGGCCGGGACAGAGGGCGACGGGCGCAGGGGGCAGGAGAGAAGGAGACAGGCGACGAGAGGAGAGGAGAGCGCGGCCCAGGCCCAGGACGAUGCAGGCCCUUCUGGCGGAUAACGGCCUGCCCGUGCAUCUGAAAGGGGGCAUGGUGGAUGGCUUGCUGUAUCGACUCACUAUGACCAUCACUGUCUUUGGCUCCUGUUACUCCGUCUUCUCGCUGGUCAGAGCUGCUUUCCCCC